rnacentral:rRNA from 1 species
UUGCUAUGAGCUGUUUUAGCGGCGGACGGGUGAGUAACGCGUGGAUAAUCUACCUUAAAGACCGGGACAACAGUUGGAAACGACUGCUAAUACCGGAUGACAUUAGUUUACGGCAUCGUGAGCUGAUCAAAGGAGGCCUCUUAACAAUGCUCCCGCUUUAAGAUGAGUCCGCGUACGAUUAGCUAGUUGGUGAGGUAACGGCCCACCAAGGCGACGAUCAGUAGCCGGACUGAGAGGUUGAACGGCCACAUUGGGACUGAGAUACGGCCCAGACUCC